rnacentral:rRNA from 1 species
UUGAACGCUGGCGGCAGGCCUAACACAUGCAAGUCGAACGGUAACAGGAAGCAGCUUGCUGCUUUGCUGACGAGUGGCGGACGGGUGAGUAAUGUCUGGGAAACUGCCUGAUGGAGGGGGAUAACUACUGGAAACGGUAGCUAAUACCGCAUAACGUCGCAAGACCAAAGAGGGGGACCUUCGGGCCUCUUGCCAUCGGAUGUGCCCAGAUGGGAUUAGCUAGUAGGUGGGGUAACGGCUCACCUAGGCGACGAUCCCUAGCUGGUCUGAGAGGAUGACCAGCCACACUGGAACUGAGACACGGUCCAGACUCCUACGGGAGGCAGCAGUGGGGAAUAUUGCACAAUGGGCGCAAGCCUGAUGCAGCCAUGCCGCGUGUAUGAAGAAGGCCUUCGGGUUGUAAAGUACUUUCAGCGGGGAGGAAGGGAGUAAAGUUAAUACCUUUGCUCAUUGACGUUACCCGCAGAAGAAGCACCGGCUAACUCCGUGCCAGCAGCCGCGGUAAUACGGAGGGUGCAAGCGUUAAUCGGAAUUACUGGGCGUAAAGCGCACGCAGGCGGUUUGUUAAGUCAGAUGUGAAAUCCCCGGGCUCAACCUGGGAACUGCAUCUGAUACUGGCAAGCUUGAGUCUCGUAGAGGGGGGUAGAAUUCCAGGUGUAGCGGUGAAAUGCGUAGAGAUCUGGAGGAAUACCGGUGGCGAAGGCGGCCCCCUGGACGAAGACUGACGCUCAGGUGCGAAAGCGUGGGGAGCAAACAGGAUUAGAUACCCUGGUAGUCCACGCCGUAAACGAUGAGUGCUAGGUGUAGAGGGUAUCGACCCCUUCUGUGCCGCAGUUAACACACUAAGCACUCCGCCUGGGGAGUACGACCGCAAGGUUGAAACUCAAAGGAAUUGACGGGGGCCCGCACAAGCGGUGGAGCAUGUGGUUUAAUUCGAUGCAACGCGAAGAACCUUACCUGGUCUUGACAUCCACGGAAGUUUUCAGAGAUGAGAAUGUGCCUUCGGGAGCCGUGAGACAGGUGCUGCAUGGCUGUCGUCAGCUCGUGUUGUGAAAUGUUGGGUUAAGUCCCGCAACGAGCGCAACCCUUAUCCUUUGUUGCCAGCGGUCCGGCCGGGAACUCAAAGGAGACUGCCAGUGAUAAACUGGAGGAAGGUGGGGAUGACGUCAAGUCAUCAUGGCCCUUACGACCAGGGCUACACACGUGCUACAAUGGCGCAUACAAAGAGAAGCGACCUCGCGAGAGCAAGCGGACCUCAUAAAGUGCGUCGUAGUCCGGAUUGGAGUCUGCAACUCGACUCCAUGAAGUCGGAAUCGCUAGUAAUCGUGGAUCAGAAUGCCACGGUGAAUACGUUCCCGGGCCUUGUACACACCGCCCGUCACACCAUGGGAGUGGGUUGCAAAAGAAGUAGGUAGCUUAACCUUCGGGAGGGCGCUUACCACUUUGUGAUUCAUGACUGGGGUG